GACGAACCGUCCAAACGUUAUUCGGAAUUACUGGGCUUAAAGGGUGCGUAGGCGGCUCUGCAAGUUGGGUGUGAAAUCCCUCGGCUCAACCGAGGAAUGGCGCCCAAAACUGUGGAGCUCGAGGGAGACAGAGGUGAGUGGAACUUGUGGUGGAGCGGUGAAAUGCGUUGAUAUCACAAGGAACACCGGUGGCGAAAGCGGCUCACUGGGUCUCUUCUGACGCUGAGGCACGAAAGCUGGGGGAGCGAACGGGAUUAGAUACCCGUGUAGUCCCU
rnacentral:rRNA from 1 species